CAGCCGUAAACAAUGUGCGUUAGGUGUGUCGGUAACCACGCGUUAUUGAUGCGCCGAAGAGAAAUCGUGAAACGCACCACCUGGGAAGUACGGUCGCAAGGCUGAAACUUAAAGGAAUUGGCGGAGGAGCACCACAACAGGUGGAGCCUGCGGUUUAAUUGGAUUCAACGCCGGACAUCUCACCGGAUAAGACAGCUGAAUGAUUGUCAAUCUGAAGGUUUUACAUGACUAGCUGAGAGGAGGUGCAUGGCGUCAGUGACU
rnacentral:rRNA from 1 species